AUUGAACGCUGGCGGCAUGCCUUACACAUGCAAGUCGAACGGCAGCACGGGAGCAAUCCUGGUGGCGAGUGGCGAACGGGUGAGUAAUGUAUCGGAACGUGCCCAGUCGUGGGGGAUAGCGCAGCGAAAGCUGUGCUAAUACCGCAUACGAUCUAUGGAUGAAAGCGGGGGAUCGCAAGACCUCGCGCGAUUGGAGCGGCCGAUAUCAGAUUAGGUAGUUGGUGGGGUAAAGGCCCACCAAGCCGACGAUCUGUAGCUGGUCUGAGAGGACGACCAGCCACACUGGGACUGAGACACGGCCCAGAGUCCUACGGGAGGCAGCAGUGGGGAAUUUUGGACAAUGGGCGCAAGCCUGAUCCAGCAAUGCCGCGUGCAGGAUGAAGGCCUUCGGGUUGUAAACUGCUUUUGUACGGAGCGAAACGGCUUCCACUAAUACUGGGGGCUAAUGACGGUACCGUAAGAAUAAGCACCGGCUAACUACGUGCCAGCCGCCGCCGUAA
rnacentral:rRNA from 1 species